ACCUCGAUCUCUUCUUUCCCUUAAGAGUAUUACUAUUACUCACAUAUAUAUAAUAUAUAUAUUUAGCUAGUGGUUUUAGGGUUUAGAGUGGGGCCGAACGGAGCUCUCUUUACUCCAUCUCUGAAAGGAGAUGACGGUAGGCACGGCUGCUAGUUCAUGAGUACCCCUGGGUGCGCAGGACGGCAUCUGAUAAUUUCCCAUGCGCAGUCUAAGGGUUUGCAUGAGCUUGGAGACGAGGUUACCUUGAUCUUUUUGGUAUUGGAGUGAAGGGAGCUCUGUCCCUGUAACACUUCUUGUCCUCGACCAAAUGCCUUGUUGUUGUUUUUUUUUGAAUCAAAAUGCCUUGUUGUUCUUAAGGGUUUAGAUCUAAGAGAAUGUCAUUGUUUCUAGUUACUAUAAUCAUUAACUUAUUUUGUCUUUUCUUUUGUUUUUGUUUUUAUUCUUGGUAUUAUUAGGCUUUAUAUAUAUUGCAUGCAUGGUUUCCUUGUAGAACUGCGGCUAGCGUCUUGAUUGAAGCCUUUGAAAUAUUGCAACUACGCUCUGAUAUCCGCCGGUUGUGCUCCUCUGCUUGUGAAAACUACGAGUUCAUUGUGAUUAAUCAUCAAAAGCAUCUCUGGAUUCGCCCUUUUUGUAUUCUUGUCGGUUAAUCGACACAUUUAAUAGUUGAUUUUUUUUUAAAAAAAGUGAAAAUUGCUAGUUUUUCUUUACCGGUCCUUUGUAAGACUGUAACUAGAUGCUUCUCCGUCAAUCUAUAUCCAAUCAAUAUAAAAAUAGUUUGAGUUUAAUUC